AAGCACUAGCUCUUUCUUCAUUCAGAGGUGAGUACUAUCUGACUGUAGCCUGCUGCUUACUAGGGCUAGCACUACUGGAGCACCGUUAGCAUUAGCCGCUAACUGCACUUAGCUGUAGCUCUUUUGCCGUUCUGUGGAACAUACUGAAUAGCAGGCAACUUGCAAUAGGCCUUACAGUGUGCAUACUCAGACCAGACACCAGAUCAUCCUGCAGCCAAUGAGGUUUAAAGAGUCUAAUCUAGAAAACCCAUUUACAUGAGGUGAGCAAAAACAGUCUGAUAACAAAUGAAAAGCUAAUGAUGUGGGCCAAUCCAUUGUUUGGUUUUUUGCAUUAGCUUUACUGGAGCUACAAGGAUAAUGUUGCUAACAAUUAAUGGAAAUGUAUAGGUAAUUAUUAUAAUUACUUAAUUAAUU
rnacentral:lncRNA from 1 species